rnacentral:rRNA from 1 species
UGGGGAAUAUUGCACAAUGGGCGAAAGCCUGAUGCAGCAACGCCGCGUGAGUGAUGAAGGCCUUCGGGUUGUAAAGCUCUGUCUUUUGGGACGAUAAUGACGGUACCAAAGGAGGAAGUCACGGCUAACUACGUGCCAGCAGCCGCGGUAAUACGUAGGUGGCAAGCGUUGUCCGGAAUUACUGGGCGUAAAGAAUGCGUAGGUGGAUAUGCAAGUCAGAUGUGAAAUACCCGGGCUCAACUUGGGUGCUGCAUUUGAAACUAUAUAUCUAGAGUGCAGGAGAGGAAAGCGGAAUUCCUAGUGUAGCGGUGAAAUGCGUAGAGAUUAGGAAGAACACCAGUGGCGAAGGCGGCUUUCUGGACUGUAACUGACACUGAGGCAUGAAAGCGUGGGGAGCAAACA